GGGGAGGGAGACUAGUCCCCGGAGCACGCUUCCCACCGCUGCGCGCCCCCAUUCUCCCUUUCUCGGAACUGUUUACCCCUGAAGUUCCUCCCAGUCCAACGCUCAGAAGGUUGAGCACCGAGCUACCUUCAGAGCCCACUGGCAAGUCCUUGAAACAGGCAGAGUGACCACUUUGUAGGAGCUCAGCUGCUCAAGGAUGACACUUUGCUGGAGGCCAAAGAGAACCUUAGCUUAACAUUGUCGCAACCUGGAGGAUCCUCUCUGGACCUCCCCACCAUCACCCGAAAACUUCAUCACAGAGGCCUUGAGGACCACCCCAACUUCCCUCCACGGAGAUCCUGGGAUGGAGGCUAAGUGGGGCAGAGACAAGGUUCCUAGCAGGGACUGCGGGACAUCAACACCAUGCGGUGCAGACGCUCAGGAACUCCUUGUUCCUGACCAGUGCCAGCUGGGUUAUUUUCAGAGAGGAGCUGAAGGAAACAAGUUCUUUCUCCCUCUCCCACCUGGGCUGGAAGCCAAGGUAGCUGUGUAUUUGGAAGAAAACAGAAGCCAAGAUGUGAAGAAAUAGCAGAGAGGAAGGGGGGCCAAAGGAGAGCCAAGGGGGUGAAAAGGCCACUUCCUUUCUUCAUGCCAAAGCCCAUACCCUACCCCCACCCUAAGAAAGCCAGAACCAAUUCCUAGAGGGAGGCAGGAGAGUGGGUAGAGGGUGGAGUUCAGACCACUGCGCAAAGAUGAUAAGUCCAAGGUACCCUGGACAUGGCCGAUAAGUGCCAACCAGAGGCUCUGAACAGACUUUAACAGGGUUCAAGUUCAAGGUUGAGAACUGGGUUCAGAAGCUGUCCUUGAGAUCGUCCAACAUGACACCCCUAGAAACCCAAUAUCUCAUUCACAGCCCCAAGGUUCCAGACAGAAGAAACCAUUCCUUCUUCGUGCAGUCAAGAAAAACUUCCCUCCCCGAGUUUAUCACCCCUACACCUUCUACAGGGACUGCCCCGCCCCCAUGACGUCAGCCUUCAAACACCUGCCAGCCUUAAAGCACAGCCAGCUUUCUCAGGCCUCUGCGUCUCUGGACAUGCCAUUCCGUGUUUUUCCCAUCCUGUUCUGCCACGUGGCCUCAUAAACUCCUGUUCAUUCAAGACCCAGCUCAGGUGACAGUUUUUCUCAACUUCUCCAAAAGAAUUCUUUUCCAUCUACCUCUGCCACAACAUGUAUACUGUUUGUUUAUUGCAUUUACUUUCCUGAGCGCCCGUUUGCACUUCGAGACAAGCGGCAGAGACGUUGUGGAAUUUGCUGAGGGCCUGCCUGUUCAGAGAUAACAUGUAGUAGGCACUCUACGAGUGUUUGGAAAUGAGUGGAUGAACUAUACCAGCCCAACCCAAAUAUUCCCCUUCUUGGAAACAACAAAAGUAGCCUAUGAAGAUAAAGGGAUAAAAGGGAAAAGAAAUGUAAACCACACUGCACUAUAUCAUAA